rnacentral:tRNA from 2 species
GCACCCGUAGCUCAGCUGGAUAGAGCGGCAGCCUCCGAAGCUGUAGGUCAGAGGUUCGAAUCCUCUCGGGUGCA